UCUGUUAUUCUUAACUAUGAUUUGUCGCAGUUAAGAGUCGCAGUUAAGGAACCUAGGUCGUAUAUCCCUCCGCCACUGCUAUUUCUGCGAUUUCAGCUACUUCCGCGACUCCUGCUACUUCUGCGACUUACCACCAUAUGAAAAAGUUACAUCUGUCCACACAGAAAAUUGCAUCUCAACAAACCUGUCAUUGGUACCCGAACUACAUUUCAGUCACUCAGUAAAUUGAUAACUCAAAAUAUUAUUGUCAACAGAUCUGGAGAAAUUGCCACUGCGUCUUUAGACCGUUUUCGUCAGACGAGAGACACAGUUCUGACUUUUGAUUACUGGUUGCUGUACGUAUCUAUCCACGUCAAGGCUGUUGAGAGAGACUCGUUAAGAUUCAAGACAGCUCUUAGAAGAUUUUGCAGUUUAAAAGUGACAAAAUUGUGAAAUAAGUGUGCAGAUGAGUGAUUAAACUGUGUUUUAUUGAAGUUGU